UACGAAGGGGGCUAGCGUUGCUCGGAAUCACUGGGCGCAAAGCGCACGUAGGCGGAUCUUUAAGUCAGGGGUGAAAUCCCAAGGCUCAACCUUGGAACUGCCUUUGAUACUGGGGAUCUCGAGUCCGGAAGAGGUGAGUGGAACUGCGAGUGUAGAGGUGAAAUUCGUAGAUAUUCGCAAGAACACCAGUGGCGAAGGCGGCUCACUGGUCCGGUACUGACGCUGAGGUGCGAAAGCGUGGGGAGCAAACAGG
rnacentral:rRNA from 1 species